CGCCGCCCGCCGGCGUCGACGUGGACAACUCCAGCGACACCGCCGCGCCGCCCCCGCCUGCGCCCGCCUCCACUGCCCCCACGGCCUGCCACGUCAUGGGAACUGAAUACAAGAUAGGUGAAGUUCUGCCACGAGAUACAGGAACAUGUCUGGAAUGUGUGUGUGAUUCUGAAGCAAGGGUUACCUGUUCACCUAAAAACUGUGCAAGCCAUGACGAUUUCCAUGCCGCCAACAGCCUUGACAUGUUUGAUGUUGAUACAUUCUAGGACUACUAUUUGCCUAAUAUUCUUUCAGAUAGCCCACAUAUGUAGUGCUAUAAAGUGUGUAUGUUGUAUCUGAACUGCCUUUCUGUAAAUCUUUCAACAGAGUUAAUAAGUGUGUAUGUGGUACAAUAUUGUUCCAGUCACAUUAUGUGAGUUUAAAAUGGCACUAAUUUUCAAUCUGUACUCCUAGAACAUCACUCAGUGUACAAUGGAUAUAGCACUGAGACAUGUUCAACUGCCUUAUGACAUCAUUGUAUGUAAUAUAUAUAAUUAAUGAAUGGUACAUACAAAUCAGGCACAAUUAUUCAUUCUUUAGCUACUUCUCGAAAAUCAGAAUGAUUAGAAGUAUAAUUUUCUUCAGAACAAAGGUCUCAUCAUUAACCAGAAAAGUCAUUUACGGCUCAUUCCAUCAACCAACCAUUCACAACAGUAAGGACUCAGACAAUGUACACAUAAUGCGAAAAUUCUUCAAAAUGUGGUAUUAUAACAAUGGCACAUUUAAGUUGCUUUCAGUAAAUGGAUUGUGAAUAAAAUCUCUUAAAGCAUCAGUUUUGACAAUGUAUUUUAUGUGUACAGACUCUCAGUAACUUUAAGGGGACAGGUAGAGUCAGUCAGUGGUGAAACUAUUGUGCUACUGCAUAACCUGCAAUCUGUUAACUGACCAACAUCAGACAGUCUCUACUUCUUAUUUUGAUAGUGUUCUUUCUAUGUUGUCAAAUCUCUGAAAUGUCUGACAAUACAAUGCUAUAGACAAUCUGACGUUUGGCAUUUAGCAAUGGUGACAGAAAAGACUUAUUUCAACAUCAUAAAUGAUCAUUACAAUUUUAAUUAAUUUCUCAAGUAUGUACACAUUCUGUAAAGCAACAUUUCUUACAAUUAAAUAAAAUUCCCAUUUUUAAGAACUUUUUAUUGGAUAACACCAACAUGAAACUAAACACAGGCGAUGCAGAAAAAGUGGAAAUGUAGCAUAUGACCUGUUACAACAAAAAGUCUAAUAUUUACAACUAUUAUUGGCAGAACUGCUGGUUAUGUUUGGAUUUCAAAGUUUUCGUUGAAAAUGCUUAUUCAUAAUCAGUCAUACAACUAUGGACUUAAUUUUGUCACUGUCACUUGAUAAUUAAACUUUUGAAAGCAACUGUAUCAUUUGUCUAUGACAUUAAAACCAACUGAUAGGUACAUCAUUUUCAUGUGUAUUCCAAAAAAAAUGUAUUUUAUACAGUGUUACAAAGUGUUUUGACAUUCACAGUAUGUUUUCGUUUGCAAGCAUCGUUACUCUGAAUUUUUUAAUGAUAAAUCAUCACAUAAACAUGAAAAUAUAGAAAAUAAAGUUUUAAUUAGCUUUACACUUAUAGCAGUCAUGUUCACUACUCUGGAACUGUUUCUUCGUCAGGAAUGGUACUAAAACCAAAUACAUCUAAUUUUCAAAAAUACUGUGCUGUUAGUUCACAAAGAUUUAUUACCAAGUUAACAAACACAGUUACAGUUUCUUCAUGAUUUUCCAGAGUUCAUCAUUUCUAUUACUUGUUCCACACACCAGUAUGCAAAAGUGCGACAUGGAAAUAGAGUAAUACUAUUUUACAUUUGUCAGUAUAAAAUAAAAAACUAUUACUAUUAGACCUAUUUUACCAAGUAGAGAAAGGAAAGACAAAAGGACCAAAUAGACUUCAGAAUUAUUUUGUUAUAUGGAAAGUGAGGUACAUUUGAAAAUAGGACGUUUAUACCAUACCAUAACAAACUUAAAUUAGAUCUUUUCCAUAUACUUCUUUUGUAGAAUAUUAACAGUACUAGAAAUAAGAUCCAAAUUCUGUUUUAAAGUGCAAUCUGAGAAGAAAAGUUGUUGAAGAUACUGAAAACCCAGAAAUAUUUAUCGUGAAAUCUUUACAGUGUCUGACUUUUGUGCCAAAUGUUUACCAGUAGUAUAAAAGUAUAAGGUAGUGUUUUCUCAAAAUGAAUGUUCACUGCAUGAUGAAACUGGACACACUCACUGAAGCAUAUGUCAUCUUUAAAAAAUAGACUUUUAUCAAUAUCAUAUUUGAACAGAAUUACUACAUUUAGUUCUCCGAUCACAUGAUGAUAUGCUUUUAAUGAAACACUUUUAUUAAAAUCCAAGAUUUUCGCUGUAUUGGUGACUUCACAACGUCACAAUUCUUCAAACAGCAAAUACGCUUCAAAAAUACAAUUUAAACAAAAAAUGUUAGCAUUUCAGAGAUCUUGACUUUGUUGCAGUUCCUGAAGAAACAAUAAUACACAUCAUCAGCAGUUCAUAUUUUCAGUGAGAGCAACAAUGUAGCGCACAUGCUUGAGGACAAUAUCAGUGAGGUAGUACUUCAUUGAUUCACUGGACUAAUUUGCAGUUUAUCUUCAAGUACUACAAGCAUUUAUACACAUUUUAUUUUGUGUAAAUAGAAAAUAUUUACAAACUUGUAUAAUACCUUAAUCAAAAAAAUGCAUUUAGAAUAUAUAACCUCUGAAAGCUACAUUUGACUUAGCUGAAUGCACAGAUUUUACUUAUAAUGCUGUAAAUAUGUCUCCUACAGAACUUUUCCAGCAUAAAAAUAGGCGUUUCGCAGCUUUAAGGAAGAUUUUAAUUAUGAUAAAAUACAACAAUGUAAAAUACAUGUAGACACAUGAAAAAUGCAGAUACCAUUGGUGACAAUUAUUUUUUAGAACUUUAAUGUAGACAUCAGUAGCAAAAAGCUGCUAACAAUCAUAAAUGCAAUUUACAGAUAACUUAUCAAAGAUUCUGGUUUAAAUUUCAGUUUUAGAAAAAAUACCAGAAAUAUUGAAGAAGGUAAAUUUUUUGCUAUAAACAUCACAUGGACUUCUCAGAUUAUGAAGUGAUAUAUGUACAAGUUGGGAAAACUGAUUUUCAAGAAAGUAAAGGACUUUUAAAGUAUUACACUUCAUUGUUUUAGAUACUUUGUGAUAUGCGUACUAACAUAUAUACACUAUAUGAACCAAUCAUACAUAGUUCAGUAUGACAACAAUAUGUUUCAUUUCAGGAGAUAUAGCUUAACAAACAUCAUUAAUAGCAAAAUGACUAAGAGUCAACCUAAUCAUUAGCUGUAGCAUGAAAUACUUAACAUAACAUUAAGUUAUUUAUGUACAGCCAGAUACUCAAGAACUAAUCCCCAAAUAUUUCACAUUCUCUUAAGAGUUGAUAGAUGAGUUUGUGAAUUCUUGUGUAUAUGAUAUCAUUAAUUCAAUUGGAGAGUUUUUAUCCAAGGCUAUACCAGUGUGCUACAUACUUAUUAAUGGUUGUUAAUUGUUUACUGGAAGAGAUUUAUAAAUACUAAAUGAUGGAGUUAACAUUUCUUAGGACAGAUUUCCUGCAUUUCAUUCAAUGUGAGAUAUGUGAAGAAAUGAUUAAUGUGAUGAUAUUUAUAUGACAUAGAGCAGUGAUAAGAAGUCAUUUAUUUUGUUGAUGCCUAGUAAUUUAGAGCUGUCUCUUUUGAUAUUGAAUAAAAACAAUAAACUCUCAUUGGUGCAGAUUAUUUUAAAAUAAAAGGUAGAGACAUCAGUGAAUCAUUCUUUAGCAACAGUAUUGAUGCAACAUUAUGAUCACUCAUAUCAUUCAUGUGAAGGUAGAUUUAGGAAUAAUUCGAAAAGAAAACAAUAUUAUAUUUGAAGUUGGUGUUACUGGUGUAUCUACUGCUCUUCGUGAGCUAGCCACUUGUCAUAUAAGACAUAUAAUUUGUAUAUAAAAUGUACAAGUUAUUAGCAUGCAGUCCUUGAUUUUUAUAAAGAUAUAUAAAAUGAUUGAAGAUAACUACAGAAAAUUAUUAUAUAUUUUCAAAUAUUUUAUUAUCCUGUGGUAGUAUGUCAGUUUACUGUAACCUAGAAGACAGAAUUUUUUUCUUUUGUAGAAAAAAAAAUUUCAGAAUCAGUGCAUAAUUUCGUUUAUAUACCAAUAGUUAAUGUAAAAGAUUAAUUUAAUAAAAAGUAAGAGUGAGUGAUACUUUUUCAUUUAAAGGGAGUGUACUGAAAAAUAUAAGUAACUUAAUAAGUAAAAUAUGUAGCUGUAGAAAUUAUUUCAUGUAGUUAUGAUGCAUAUAUAACAUGCAAAUAUAACAACAGUCUAUGUACUCUCAAAGUAUGGAAUCAAAAAACCACUUUGUAAUGCUAAAAUUGCUUGACAUUCUGUCUUUCAUACAAUAAGCAGCACCAUGUUAAAACUUCUUCAAUUGUACAUUAUAGUAUUAUGUCCAUUGCUAUAUUAUGUUCCUGCAAAUAGUGUUGGUAAUGUUAUGAGAGGCACUAAGUAACUGUGAAGGAAUUGUGACAUUAUAAUGUAAUCCAGAUGUCUUCCAUAAUUCAUAAGUUGCUGCUAUUGUAUUAUCUUUCAUUAAUAUGUAUAUUACGUUUUACACAAUGUUUCCAGACUUUCGAUAUUGUAACACUACUGAAUAAACAAGUUUUAAAGCUGA